GUGCUCGCUUCGGCAGCACAUAGACUGAAAUUGGGUACAGAGAAGAUUAGCAUGGCUCCUGCUCAAGGAUGACAUGCAAAUUCAUGAAGCAUUCCAUAUUUUU